rnacentral:rRNA from 1 species
CAAUAGCGUAUAUUUAAGUUGUUGCAGUUAAAAAGCUCGUAGUCGGAUUUUGGCUGAGAACGAUCGGUCCGCCGUUAGGUGUGCACUGAUUGGUCUCAGCUUCCUGGUGAGGAGGUGUGCUUCACGGCCACUUAGUCACCGUGGUUACUUUGAAAAAAUUAGAGUGUUCAAAGCGGGCUUACGCUUGAAAAUAUUAGCAUGGAAUAACACCAUAGGACUCCUGUCCUAUUUCGUUGGUCACGGGACGGGAGUAAUGAUUAAGAGGAACAGUUGGGGGCAUUCGUAUUUCAUUGUCAGAGGUGAAAUUCUUGGAUUUAUGAAAGACGAACUUCUGCGAAAGCAUUUGCCAAGGAUGUUUUCAUUGA